ncrna:Synechococcus sp. CC9902 Glutamine-II riboswitch (downstream peptide RNA)
AAACGUUCACCUUGCAUCCGCAAGGCGCAGUCAAGCCAGGCCACGGAACGGGGACCUGGA